rnacentral:rRNA from 1 species
UACGGGGGGGGGCAAGCGUUGUUCGGAAUUACUGGGCGUAAAGGGUUCGUAGGUGGCCAACUCAGUCAGACGUGAAAUCCCUCAGCUCAACUGGGGAACUGCGUCUGAUACUAGAUGGCUCGAGUGCAGGAGAGGAACGCGGAAUUCCAGGUGUAGCGGUGAAAUGCGUAGAUAUCUGGAGGAACACCGGUGGCGAAGGCGGCGUUCUGGACUGCAACUGACACUGAGGAGCGAAAGCAUGGGGAGCGAACAGG